rnacentral:sRNA from 1 species
UAGCACAAUAUCCUUUUUUU